GUAGGUGGCAAGCGUUGUCCGGAAUUAUUGGGCGUAAAGCGCGCGCAGGCGGUUCUUUAAGUCUGAUGUGAAAGCCCACGGCUCAACCGUGGAGGGUCAUUGGAAACUGGAGAACUUGAGUACAGAAGAGGAAAGCGGAAUUCCACGUGUAGCGGUGAAAUGCGUAGAGACGUGGAGGAACACCAGUGGCGAAGGCGGCUUUCUGGUCUGUAACUGACGCUGAGGCGCGAAAGCGUGGGGAGCAAACAGGGAUUAGAUACCCUGGUAGUCCACGCCGUAAACGAUGAGUGCUAAGUGUUAGGGGGUUUCCGCCCCCUUAGUGCUGCAGCUAACGCAUUAAGCACUCCGCCUGGGGAGUACGGCCACAAGGCUG
rnacentral:rRNA from 1 species